GGGCGUGUGGUCUAGUGGUAUGACGUCUGCUUCGCACGAAACUUGCGACCCAACAAGGGUAGAACCUUGAGUCAGCAGAAGGUCCCGGGUUCAAAUCCCGUCUCGUCCA
rnacentral:tRNA from 1 species